UACGUAGGGCGCAAGCGUUGUCCGGAAUUAUUGGGCGUAAAGAGCUCGUAGGCGGCUUGUCACGUCGGGUGUGAAAGCCCGGGGCUUAACCCCGGGUCUGCAUUCGAUACGGGCUAGCUAGAGUGUGGUAGGGGAGAUCGGAAUUCCUGGUGUAGCGGUGAAAUGCGCAGAUAUCAGGAGGAACACCGGUGGCGAAGGCGGUGGUCUGGGCCGGCACUGACGCUGAGGAGCGAAAGCGUGGGGAGCAAACAGG
rnacentral:rRNA from 1 species